rnacentral:rRNA from 1 species
UACGAAGGGGGGCUAGCGUUGCUCGGAAUCACUGGGCGUAAAGCGCACGUAGGCGGAUUGCUAAGUCAGGGGUGAAAUCCUGGAGCUCAACUCCAGAACUGCCUUUGAUACUGGUGAUCUUGAGUCCGGGAGAGGUGAGUGGAACUGCGAGUGUAGAGGUGAAAUUCGUAGAUAUUCGCAAGAACACCAGUGGCGAAGGCGGCUGCCUGGGGCUUUGCUGACGCUGAUGCGCGAAAGCGUGGGGAGCGAUCCGG